rnacentral:lncRNA from 1 species
AUUCCUAAUCCAAAACAGACUCAGAAAAGUCAGUUACUGCAGUGGAAUUAUUAUCUGUUUUAUAUAUAAGUAUUUUUAAGGAUUACAGAUCCAAAUAGGAUAUGGUUUAGGGAAUCCUUAAGACAACGGCUGCAGAGGCUUACUUGCAGGACAAGGGUUCUGUGUCUUUUAAAACUAAUCAGUGACAAGCCCUUUUUGGGUAACCGUAAUAAGGGACUAAGUAAUUCUGAAUUUAGAUAGUUGAAGUACAUAAUUAUGCACCCCAAGUGAAGUUGCAUCUAACAAGUGUGUAGAGAUAUAAAAUUAUCAAUAUUAAUGAUGAGAAAAUAAAAUUAACCAUACCCAGGACAAAAAUUUGAUGACAUAUCACUAGGAUUAAAAAACUAUGUACAACACUAUAAAUAUAACAUUUUGCUGAAACUCCAGCCUAUGCAUGUGUGUUACCAACGGGCUAUAAAAGACCAUUGGCCAAGUUCAUCAAUUUAAGUUAAAACUGAAGUCCUGAAUUGCUUUAGACCCACUGCACAGUUUUCUAUUCAAGUUGUUUUGUCCAAUCAAACGGUUCCCAGUCCCGCGCAAAAGUUGCAACCGCUUGCUUUUGCGUCUCCACAGAUUCAUGCCUCCUACGACGGUACAUGUC